UGAAGGGAGCUUGCUCCUGGAUUCAGCGGCGGACGGGUGAGUAAUGCCUAGGAAUCUGCCUGGUAGUGGGGGAUAACGUCCGGAAACGGGCGCUAAUACCGCAUACGUCCUGAGGGAGAAAGUGGGGGAUCUUCGGACCUCACGCUAUCAGAUGAGCCUAGGUCGGAUUAGCUAGUUGGUGGGGUAAAGGCCUACCAAGGCGACGAUCCGUAACUGGUCUGAGAGGAUGAUCAGUCACACUGGAACUGAGACACGGUCCAGACUCCUACGGGAGGCAGCAGUGGGGAAUAUUGGACAAUGGGCGAAAGCCUGAUCCAGCCAUGCCGCGUGUGUGAAGAAGGUCUUCGGAUUGUAAAGCACUUUAAGUUGGGAGGAAGGGCAGUAAGUUAAUACCUUGCUGUUUUGACGUUACCAACAGAAUAAGCACCGGCUAACUUCGUGCCAGCAGCCGCGGUAAUACGAAGGGUGCAAGCGUUAAUCGGAAUUACUGGGCGUAAAGCGCGCGUAGGUGGUUCAGCAAGUUGGAUGUGAAAUCCCCGGGCUCAACCUGGGAACUGCAUCCAAAACUACUGAGCUAGAGUACGGUAGAGGGUGGUGGAAUUUCCUGUGUAGCGGUGAAAUGCGUAGAUAUAGGAAGGAACACCAGUGGCGAAGGCGACCACCUGGACUGAUACUGACACUGAGGUGCGAAAGCGUGGG
rnacentral:rRNA from 1 species